GAAUCAUCUCUCCCACUGCUUCAACCAACAAUGCAAAAAAAGAAGACAAAAAGGAGAGGAGAGGAAGAAGAUGACGGUGGAGGAGAGCACUGUGAGGGAGGAUACUGUGACACGGGGGAAAGGGCUGAGAGUCAGCACUCCUGACCUUGACAUACCUGCCUCCGCUCACCAGCUCCACCUGAGUCUCUGCACCCGGGGACUAGGCAUUUUAGCCCAGAUCUUCAGUGAGGCUCUCGCUAGCUCUUAAAUUUUGAAAAUGUCCAAAAAUAUAGUGGACUGAAAUGGAAUCUUCAAUAAUGACAUAAAUGAGGAUUGAGAGCCUGUGGUAUUCAUGUGGGCAUUCCGGAGAGCUGCAGCAAACUUAAGACGGAAACCCAGACAGCUGAAGAGGAAAGGGAUAAGGCACAGAGUUACUGGAUAGAGAUCAGCCCAGAGACCUCCACCAGUCAGGCCUUACAAAGGAUGACUACUCGCCUGGAGCUGCAAUUAUUCAUCCUUCAUAAACAGAGAUCGCUUCUCAGAAUUGUUAACAUUGCUUCUGUUAGUCUUUAAACAAAGCGGUCUGUUUAUAAG
ensembl:lncRNA